UAUAUAUAUAUCUGUUAUAAUAAAAAAAAUUGAAUUCUCUAGCUUUGAAACGUUAGGUGUGAAUAAAAAAUGAAAAUUUAUUAAUAUUUUGUCAAAAUUAAUUAUCCAAAUAUUUUAUCACAUUUAUCAAUUAAUUUUAACAACUAUGGGUGUAAUUAUACGUGCAUGAGUUUGUGUAAUUAUGACAUGUCAGUUGAAUAAAGUGAAAUAUAAAGGCUAAUUGUUGGCAUAACAUUAUUGAAAGUAGCUAAAAUGGUAGAAGAAUCAUAGUCCUAUAAGGCUCUCAGCCCCACAAAAAGGAGAAAUAUUUUUUUUAUGCUAAAUUAAGAAAAAAUAAUACUUUGUAUUCUUUCCAAACCUACAAUAACAUUCACUAUAUAUUCACCUCUCACAAAUGCUUUGGACUAAAUAUCUUUUUAAAUUUUGGAGGGUGAUUAACAAAUGUAUUGCUCAUUUCAAAUGGAAUGACAAUAAUAAUAAUCAUUUAGGUUGUUAUGCAUACCAAUUCAAGCUUUAUUACUAUUUUUUUUUAAUCAUUUUAUUCAUGAAUGAAUUACAACUUCAAAUUACACUAAAAUUUAAAGCGUAUAUAAAACGCUUAUUUGCAAUAAUGAUGAUAAUAUUGAAGUGGGUUUACGUUUUGUGAUUUAUUUUUUUAUUAAAUUAUAAAAUAGAAAAAAUUACAAAAAUCGCCCAUACUAUAGAGUACGAUAGCAAUUGCAACUAUUCUCAAAUUCAUUCCAAUGUUAAAAUUCAACUUUAAAACUUAUAUAAUUGUAGAAAUUGAGACAAUUAUAGUGUACAAUUUUGAUUGUUUGAAGAUUCAAUUUUAUGGUUGAGGAUCAAGCUUUCUAGAACCAUUAUAAGUUUAAAGAUAUAAUAUUUUAAUACUUGUAUGAGUUGAUAACUCAAUUUUAAGGAAUUGUUAUUACUGACGUUGGUAACACUUGAUUUUGUAAGAGAUAAAUAAAUGAAAUUGAAGGGGUAAAAAAAAACAGAGAAUUAGAUUGACAUAUAUUGGAUAGGCUCAUCAUGCCCAAAGAAAUGGAAGCAAGAGAAAAAAGAGUAGAAAAGAAUAGAUAAAAGAAAGAAAAGCAUGAAAUGACAUGAAACUUUGUUAUUUGUUUAGAAAGUAUGUGUAUUAUUUAAAAAGGAAUAUAUAAUAUUGAGAAUGAGGUGAAAUAAAGAUUUAAAAUAGAAAGAUGAUUUUUGAGGAGCAAUAUUUGAGUGAAGGGUAUUUUAGGUAUUGUCAUUAUAAUAUGAUGUUAUUAAAGAGUGAAAACAAAGAAAUAAAAUAAUAAUAAUAAAGAAGAAAUAGGUUUGCUUGAAGAAGGAAGCUAAAUGGAAGAAGGGGUGCACAAAAGGUACCAAACCAAACCAACACAAACUUUAUUUAGCCCUACAAUACAAUUCCUUCACCCAAAUGUCCUUUUCUUUUUGGGUAGGGUUUUGGUGUCGGUCUCGAUGUGUUUUUUCUUUUCUUUUUUUCUUUUUUGCUUCUUGGCUUCGAACCUAAUUUCACCCUCAUCCAACAAGCCUAUGCCUAACCAUGAAAAUCCAAAUAUAACACAACCUACUUCUCAAAUAUCUACCUAUUCAUUUCUUCUCAACCCAAAAUCAAAGCCAGCCAACCGAGAACAAGAAAGAAAACAUUUCUUUUUCUCUUCUUUUUUCUUUUCAUUUUUUAGCAUAAUAAAUACAAUUGUUAUUACUCACUCACUCACUCACUCACAUCCUAUUGUUCAAACCGUACAAUUUCUUUUCUUUUCUUUUCUUUUUUAUUUUUUAACAGAGACAAAACACUUUCCCUUGUGUUCAGACAGAUAGUUACUUGGCUUCCUUAUGUUUGGACAGACAGACAAAAAAGAGAAAAGAAAAGAAAAGAAAAACACUCUCAUCCAUUAUAAUCUCACCCAAUCCUUUACCAUUUCUUCUCUUCUUCUUUUUAAGCUUUCUUUUUUCUUUACAAUGGUGGAAACUCACACACCUUCCCUCGUUAAAACAGGGUGGUAACUAGAAGAAAAAUACAAAUCUGGCCAACACCCAUGUUCCCAUUUUCCUAAUUUUUGCUCUUUGUUAGGUUUAGAUUCUUUCCUCUUUUUGUUCUUUUCUUCAUUAUGAACUCUCAAACCCAUCAACUUUUCUCCUUUCUCCAUUUUCAUCAACACUACUACUACUCUGUUUCUCAUCUCUUUCAAAUGUGGGUCACGGCGGAGGAGGUACAUGGCUUUGAAGAAGAAGAAGAAGAAGAUGGUGAUGGUGGCGAUGAUGAUGAUGAUGAAGAAGAAGAAGAAGAAGAAGAAGAAGAAGAAGAAGAAGGUUAUAAUGGUGUUUUGUGAAGGUAGAAAGAUCAGAUUCAGAUUCAGAUUCAGAUUCAGAUCAUAUGGCGGUGGUGAUAUUGGCGGAGACGGCUCAAUCUCUGGUUUUUAUUUAUGAUAUUAUUAUUAUUAUUAUUAUUUUACUUUCUCUUUUAAAUACAUUUUGAAAUAAUUUCUGUAAAAAAAGAAUUUUUCCCAAGAAAUAUGCUCAAGGGCUAAUUUGGGAUUUUUCUUGUUAAUUAGACAAAUAGGUUCGUUUUUUUCUUCUUCUUUUUUUUUUCUUUUUCUUUUUUCCUUUUUAUAAUUUAUUUGGUGGAUUAUUGAGAAGUCUCAAAAUCCCAAUUGAAUUAGUGAAUUAGGCAGCCAUUUCAAUGUGUUGUCUUCUCUUACUGUUAUAUUACCAUUUCUUUGAAAGAAAAUGUCAGAAUUUUGCCUUCUCUCUCUGUCUUUGUCUGCUCCAUAGAUUAAAGAUUUUUUAUUUCUCGAGAAGUGUGAGAUUUGACAAUUCGUAAGGAGAAAAAAAUGUGUAUAUAUAUAUAUAUAAGAAUGUUUUUGUUAGGAGAAUUAAAUAUAUAGUUAAUGAAUGUUUAAUAUUUUGAUUAUUUUGGGUUUGGGUAAUGGUGAAAUUGUCAGUAUUUGAAAACGAUGAAAAAUAAAGAAAAAGGAAGCAUUAAUUGUUAAGGAAAGGUAGGGAGAAAAAAAAAGAGGAAGAGUAAAUGAUGAGGCAGUGAGUGUGUGUGUCCCAUGGAAGAGUCUUAUCAAUUGUGUGUCACCUGCGACGCUCUUUGGGGGCUUUUUUGGUAUUUUCCACUUUUUUUUUUUUUUUGGCAUUUCCGGAAAUAUUGGGGUUUUGAUGGAAUUCUUUAUUCAUUUUUUAUUGCUGGCCGAUGGGUUUUUUUUUUUAAAUCUUUUAAUCCCAUUUUACCAUUUACCUUUUUUUUUUUUUAAAUAAACAAAGUUCAGUUUUGAAAACUUUGGAAAAUAGUGUUAAAAACUUGUGUUGAUUUUGAAAAAUGUGAAUGUGGUGUGGGGUGUUGAGUUUCAAAUACGGGAGAAAAUAGUAGGGUAUUUUCGGCAUACUUUCCACCCAUGACUUUGGUUUUAUUAUAUAGAAUUGGGUAUAGUUAUUGUUUAAGUUAAGCUCAUAACUGCCCCUCUGAAAUGUUUGCCGUUGUUGAGUUAAUACUUGUUGGGCUAUUGCCUCAUCACUUGAACCAACGCUUACGUGAUCUCUUCAUUCAUAUUUUCUUUCUUAAUGGCUUACCCAUCGAGAACCUAAACGGCUUCAAAGCCCAAUUACUUUGAGCUCUUUCAUGGGUCCUCUCUCUCCAUGAGUUCCACUAACCUCCAAUAGGCUCUUUCCAUUUGUCUUCUAAUUAAGAUCUUCUAAGCUCUUUGCAUGGGUGUUUUCAGCUCCAGCUCCACUAUAUAGCCUCUUCUUGUAGGUUCUCUAAACUCUCUAACCUCAUUUAAAUUUUCCAAAAGAACCUCUAAACUCUAUAUGACUCACACAUGGAUCCGCUAAGCUCUCACUGGGCUUACUCUGUAGGUCCUCUAAGACAGUCUUAAGCCACCCGCCUAGGCUUCUCUUCUAUAGUGCUUUUUAGGCAACUCUUUGGAUGGGUCCUCUAAGGCUCUCUCUCCUAGACUUAUGUGAACGUUUUUGGGCUCUCCCAUGUGAAUCCUAUCCACUCACCCACUAAGUGGCCAACAAUAUUUCUAGAAUCGACCGAUGUUGGUAAAUCCUCCCAUAACAAAUUCAACACUUUUCCUAAAGAUUAUCAAACUAUUCUCAUAUGCUAGGAGGAAAUAUGCUUAUUUUUCAAAUAUCAAAUGAUUUCAAACAUUUUGUAAUUUGUGUAUAUUUUCUUAUCCCUUCUUUGAGUAUAGUUUAAUAUUUUCUAACCAAGCAUUGGAAUUCUUAAUUAAUUUUAAAAAAUAUAAAGACAUUUUUUAAAAGAACAAAAAAGAAAGAAAAAAAAAAAAGGUGGGAGAGACAAUGAGAGUAGUAUAUAUUGUAUAAUAGAUACUUUUAAAUUGUAUACUGUAUAUAUAUAAUCACUAUAUUGAAGUCGUCUAUAAGCUUUAUUUCCAAAACUAAAAACUAAAAAUUUAAUUUUUAUUAAAUAUAAUCUUAACUGUGUAUUAUUUAGGGGUUUUGGACAUAAAUGAGCUUAAACCCUAAAUCUUAAAAGAAGUGUUAUAUUACAUUAUUGUCUUAUAAACAUUUCAUUUUUUUUUUAUACCUAAAAGUGCCUAUUAAAUUUAAGUAUCAGCCCUACAUGCAAAAUAGUAAAAUUGAAGUGUGAAGAUAGAGGACAAUGAAUUCAUUAUUUUGUAGUAGUUUCUUUUACAAGGUAAAUAGUUUGUUUUUCUUCUUAUUAUUUUAAAAAAACCCCUUUAAACAAAGGAAAGAAAAGGUAUUUAUUUCUCCAUCAUUAAAGGAGUAUUGAGAAAAAAAGGAAAAAAAAUAUAAAUACAUGGUAUAUUGUGACCAUAAUUGGGCUAGGAAAAAUCAACAGCAUACCUGUGUAUUUGUAAAAAUCGUCCAUUUUGAAAAAUCUUAAAUAAUUUUUUAUUUUCUGAUUAUAUAGAUUUAUGUCUGCAAUUGGAUUUUUACAUUUUUAGAUUUCAAAUAUAUAUAGUAUUAACUAUUUAAAUUCAAUUUUUUUUGUUAUCACUAGGAUAAUGGCUAAUAUAAUUUCGUCACUUUCCGUUAUUAAUCGAUUUGAAUUUAAAUUUUAGAAUUUGAAUUUAAAUUUUAGAUCCAAAUUUGAAUUUAAAUUUUAGAUCCAAUUUUGAAUUUAAAUUUUAGAUCCUUGUUGCAAUAAUGUCAAAUAUAAAUACAAGAUUUUCAUAUUUUAGAACGGUAAUUAUACCUCAACGAUAUUUUUGCAAUUAUUUGAAUCUUCUUUUAGGUUUUAUUUAAGAAAAGAAAACAUUUUCUCAAAUAAAACCUAAAAGAAGAUUGAGAAAAAGAAAACAACUGACCUAAGAGACAUACAAAGUGAGAGAGUUUUUCUUGCAAACAAGAGAGGAGAAAAGUGUCAAAGUCAGCAGCAAAAACCAUUGGUUCUAUGUUAUUACUUUUAAAAAAAAAGUGCAUUUAUUGUAUUCUUAAAUCCCCUCAUGUCCAUAAGAUUGCAAGAUUCCAUUUUAAAAUCAGAACCCACCAACGUCUCAUUGAUAUUUUGUAUCCUACUGUCCAAACGAUCGAUUCAUUGAUGCAACUCGACCUUCCAACUCGUGUUGGUGUUGACGUAGAAGGAAGAAACUGAAGGUUUUUUAAGGUUUUGAAGCUGAUUUGGAGAAGUUGAAGUUCUUUUGUGGAACAAACUCUUGUGCAAGUAGAAUAUUUUGGAGACGUGGAACUCAAGGGAACGAAAGACCUUUCAAAAU
rnacentral:lncRNA from 1 species